ensembl:lncRNA
GGAAUUCCAGGAGAAAUGGGAGCUGAUGGCCCUGUUGGCCCACCAGGGCCACAAGUCAGUAUUUGUGUGAUUUAAUAUCAAGGAAAAUUCUGCAAUGAGUCAGCAACUAAAUGGUGAUAUUCUUUCACCACCUGAAGACUGGGAAUUAUGUAUUAUUUCUGUUUUAUUAUGUAUUAUUGAUGUUUUAGGGUCCAACUGGCAAAUCUGGGCCUCAGGGAAGGGAUGGACCGAAAGGUCAGAAGGGAAAUGAUGGUCUAGAUGGACCUCCUGGAAAACCUGGGCAUACUGGGAAGAGAGUAAGUAUAGUGUUAAGUUUUUUUGUGUGUGUGUUUGUGGGAAACAUUUCCAGCAUUAACAGAACCAUUUAAAUUAUUCUUUGACUGUUAGGGGAAAAAGGGAAAAGCUGGUCAGAGGGGUCUCAGAGGACCUAGAGGGGAGAAGGGCCAACAGGGAGCAAUGGGAAAGACUGGACCUCCUGGCAGACCAGGAAAAUAUGGUUUACCAGGUAUUCGAGGCAAUAAAGGAGAGAGCGGUGAAAAAGGCUUUGAGGUUUGGGGCUUUAACGGAAAUGUCAUAUUAGAACUGACAAAACUGAGAACCUUGAGGCUUACUCUUCUUUCUGUCUAUAGGGAGAGAAGGGGGAACUUGGGCCACUUGGUCCUCCAGGGGGAGAUGGACUGAAGGUACCUUCAUUCAUUUUAAUCAAAUGCUAGAAGAAACUGAAAAGACUGGAGGCAUCUAUUAGUAUUUUGUGUGUGUAAAUACUGCAAGUGUUAGUUGUUGUGUCUGACUUCAGUCUGUUGGUUUAUUUCAGGGGGAGCAGGGCCUAACCGGGGAAAAAGGGAGACAGGGGCUGAAGGGAGAGCAGGUGAUAUACAGUAUUUAGAUGUGCAUGUAAAUGUACAAUGAGACUGUUGGCAUGUAGAAUAAAGAAUCAUUUCUGCCUCUUUUUAGGGGGAUA